AAAAAAAAAAAAAAAAAAAAAAAAAAAAAAAAAAAAAAAAAAUAAUUUUUAGGGGUAUUUUUAUGGCGUUACC
rnacentral:ribozyme from 1 species